CCUACGGGCGGCAGCAGUGAGGAAUAUUGGUCAAUGGCCGCAGGGCUGAACCAGCCAAGUCGCGUGAGGGAUGACGGUCCUAUGGAUUGUAAACCUCUUUUGUCAGGGAGCAAAGGGCGCCACGUGUGGCGUUUUGCGAGUACCUUAAGAAAAAGCAUCGGCAAACUCGGUGCCAGCAGCCGCGGUAAUACGGGGGAUGCGAGCGUUAUCCGGAUUUAUUGGGUUUAACGGGUGCGCAGGCGGAAUGUCAAGUCAGCGGUAAAAUUUCGGGGCGAAACCCCGUCGUGCCGUUGAGACUGGCGUUCUUGAGUGAGCGAGAAGUAUGCGGAAUGCGUGGUGUAGCGGUGAAAUGCGUAGAUAGCACGCAGAACUCCGAUUGCGAAGGCAGCAUACCGGCGCUCAACUGACGCUCAUGCGCGAAAGCGUGGGUAUCGAACAGGAUUAGAUACCCUUGUAGUC
rnacentral:rRNA from 1 species